CUCAUGGUUUCACGGUAUUGCAAUGAGAACAAUUUAAAACCCUUAGCGAGAAUCAAGUGGAGGACAAGUCUGGUGCCAGCACCCGCGGUAAUUCCAGCUCCACUAGCGUAUAUUAAAGUUGUUGCAGUCAAAAAGCUCGUAGUUGAACCUCUGUCUGGGGCUAGUUUUGGCUUUGGUCAGGCUAGUUCUAGGCAUCCGCCUACAAGACUUAGAGGGCAUUCAGUUGUUCACUAGGAGGAGUAGGCAUUUUACUUUGAAAAAAUUAGAGUGUUUAAGGCAGGCAAUCGCCCGCAUAUAUUAGCAUGGAAUAAUAGAAUAGGACACUUUUCCAUUUCGUUGGUUAUUGGAAUCGUGUAAUGAUUAAUAGGGAUAGUUGUGGGCAUUUGUAUUUAAUUGUCAGAGGUGAAAUUCUUGGAUUUAUUAAAGAUAAAUUAAUGUGAAAGUAUUUGCCAAGGAUGUUUUCAUUAAUCAAGAAUGAAAGUUAGGGGAUUAAAGAUGAUCAGAUACCGUCCUAGUCUUAACUAUAAACUAUUCCGACUCAAUGUUUGACUGGCUUAUAUAACCAGUUGAGCGUUGUAUGAGAAAUCAAAGUCUUUAGGUUCUGGGGGGAGUAUGGUUGCAAAGCUGAAACUUAAAGGAAUUGACGGAAGAGCACAACCAGGAGUGGAUUCUGCGGCUUAAUUUGACUCAACACGGGGAAACUUACCAGGUUAAAACAAUAGUGGGAUUGACAGUUUGAGAGCGCUUUCUUGAUUGGUUGGGUGGUGGUGCAUGGCCGUUCUUAGUUGGUGGAGUGAUUUGUCUGCUUAAUUGCGUUAACGAUCGAGACCUUAACCUGCUUACUAGACUGGCGAUCAUCAAUCGUUAGCUCUUCUUAGAGGGACUUUGGUUGUUUUAACUCCAAGGAAGUUUGAGGCAAUAACAGGUCUGUGAUGCCCUUAGAUAUCCUGGGCCGCACGCGUCAUACAAUGACUAGUUCAGAAAGUUUUCUCCUGACCCGAAAGGGGAUGGGUAAUCUUGAUAAUACUAGUCGUGUUAGGGAUCGAUCUUUGCAAUUAUAGAUCUUGAACGAGGAAUUCCUAGUAAGUGCGGUUCAUCAGACCGUACUGAUUACGUCCCUGCUCUUUGUACACACCGCCCGUCGCUUCUACCGAGUGGGUGGUCCGGUGAGAUAAUUGAACUUCGCAGGUAACUGAGAGGAAAGAUUAUCAAACCUAUCCACCU
rnacentral:rRNA from 1 species